rnacentral:rRNA from 1 species
UACGGGGGGAGCAAGCGUUGUUCGGAUUUACUGGGCGUAAAGGGCGCGUAGGCGGUCGUGACAAGUCACUUGUGAAAUCUCCGGGCUUAACUCGGAACGGUCAAGUGAUACUGUCGGGACUAGAGUACAGAAGGGGCAACUGGAAUUCUCGGUGUAGCGGUGAAAUGCGUAGAUAUCGAGAGGAACACCUGCGGCGAAGGCGGGUUGCUGGGCUGAUACUGACGCUGAGGCGCGAAAGCCAGGGGAGCGAACGGGA